rnacentral:rRNA from 1 species
AGAAUCAACGCUGGCGGCGUGCCUAACACAUGCAAGUCGAACGAGAAAGUGGAGCAAUCCAUGAGUAAAGUGGCGCACGGGUGAGUAACACGUGAAUAAUCUACCUCCGGAGUGGGGAAUAACCUAGAGAAAUCUGGGCUAAUACCGCAUAACACUUACGAGUCAAAGCAGCAAUGCGCUUGGAGAGGAGUUCGCGGCCGAUUAGCUAGUUGGCGGGGUAAUGGCCACCAAGGCGAUGAUCGGUA